UUACCAGGAGGCAUAUGUUGCAUGCCGGGCACAGAGCUGGGAAUUAGACACGGUGGCUGAAGACAUGGACAAAGAUACAGCAAAAUACGUGUCUCAAAAACAUCCACUCCAUCCACAGCCUGCAGCUCGAGACAGCCAUGGUCGCCUACUUAUGACUGGAAGGGGAAAAUCAUUCUCUCUGCCCCGAAUAUCCCUCGUCAAUGCCUGAAAUCCACCAUUCGAGACUCCAUAGAACCUCCAGAUAGGAUGUCUUGGGGCUCCUACAGCCAAACAUUCCAGUAUUCCACAUGAGGAAGCCGGGCCCAGAGAGCUUAAGUUACUUGUCCAGCAUCACCCAGCUUGUUGCUGGGCCCAGAUCCAGAGUCUCUGAAUUCCCAUGAUAUUCCCUCCUUAGAAUCUUCUUUAGUAAUCAAAAUACUAGAGGGAAAGGGAGUGACACUUUCAUGUUCCUGGGACCUAGGAGGGAGUUCCUGAGAGGCUUCCUCUGUCCCCAGAAGAAGAAUCACACAGGAGGCUUUGCUUAAGAGGCCACUGACAUUUCACUAUAAGAAUUCCUUUCUUCACAGCAGGCAGCUGGGAUAGUGCUUCCUGGUUUUGCUCCAGGUCACAAAGGGGCAUUGUCCUCAGGGACACCACCUAUGCCCCUGCUCACCUAUCUGGGGAGCAGCCUACAGGCCUCUGUUGAGUGUGCAGGACCAGCCCCUGCCCUUGCCCAGAGAAGAGGGCCCCCACAUCACUGAGUUGGAAAUCUCUAGCCGGGGAUCUGUCUAGUCCAGCUUCCCGCCUUCAGACAGGGAUUUAUUAUCCCUGAGUUUACAGAGAAGGGCCUGAAUCCCAGAGAGGUUAACUGACUUGCCCAAGGUCAUACAGCUAGUAAUUAGAACAGUCACUUAAGGCUAUUACCUACUUAGAAUCCUCGUGGCAUAGACUGUGGGCGCUGAGAGUGAUCUUAUAAAUACAGUGACCGUAUUUUCAGAACCCAAAACUAGGACAUUGAGCCUGACAAAGCCAAGUGCAUUUACAGGGACAGGGAACAGAUUAUUUGAAUUGGUACUGCCCCAGAAAAGGGACCUGCGUGUGCGGGGCCAUCCAGUCCCAGCCCCUCUGUUCAUAGUUGAGGCAGCUGAAGGCCGGAGAGGCUAAAUGGCUUGCCAGAGGUCGUAGGCAGAAAUGUUUUGUUUUCUCAAACUCUGAAGGUUGAGUCAACAGGGUGUGGGUGGGGGAGGACAAGAAGGGCCCAUUGUUCCAGGCCGCCUUCCCUAGGGACGGCCUGGCCCCACAGCGCCUGUUCCCAUCCAGAAUGGGUGCAGCUGCCGCCAGACGCCAGAGCAAGAACGCCUGAAGCCAGACAAAGCUCAGGCUCUUCAGCUCUCACAGACCUGGGCAGCCGGACAAAAAGGAAUUCAGAGGACCACAGAGACAGGACGUUAACAUGACAAGAUAUAAGCUAAUGACCCCUCUGGCAUUUAAAUUCUGGUAUAAAUCAGGGCAACAAGUCACACUGACAGGUGUUGGAGAAGGGUCUACAUAAGCCCUGCAAUGAGCUAGGCACCAGAACUGCAACCUGCCUUUCAAGCUCACUGUCUGUUCCACUGGCAAAGAGUCUAGAUGGUUGGCAAAUGGCCGGACUCUACAGUGUGCUCCCAACUCUUGUCCCAAUUAGAGCACUUUUCUGUGUCCACCGUCCACCCAGCCUUCAAUCCUGCCUUGGAUGAGAGCAAGUGACAGUGAACUUGAGAAGAGAUAAUAAACACCUGAUCUCCCUGAUAGCAUCUUCUUUAAUUAUUUAAAGAAAGGGGUGGCUUCUUUAAAACCGCUUCCGUUCCAGUUCUUUUGUUAAAACUCUCGUAAAGUCAGUGACAGGUUGUGGAGCUGGGAGUAGGAAGGGGCUGGCGUUGUUAAGAGGGGACAGCGAGAAGAUGCUUUUAGACGGAAAAGGAAGGGUGAUGCAAACGACCCUUUAAUUAGAAGAAAGCUAUGCACACAUUUUCUUUUUCAACCAAAGAUGUCAGAAAAGACACCUUAUAUAUUAAAGAGCAGAUUUGAGAAGGGCAAAAGAACAGACAAGUGUAACUUCGAUGGGAAAGUGCUGCUGCCUGUGAAUACAGUGCACUGAGCAUGAGGUUUGGAGUCAGGUCUAAGGAGCGGCUCUGCCACUUCCUGGUUGGGUGACCUCAGACAAGCUAUUUAACUUACCUAACCUUCAGUUUCCUCAUCUGUAAAACAGACAUAAUCAUAGCCACCUUAUAAAGUUGACUUGAGGAUGAAAUGAGAGGGAGAAAGCAUGCAAGAGCUUAGCGAGACCCUAGUACAUGGUAGACACACAAUGCAUGGUUUUUUUGAAAAUGAAUACUGCACUGAAUGAACUGAGAAGAAAGAAAGUCAAGGGAGUGACUACCUGGACUGUUCUGAGGUUGUUUCUGGUGGAUUUAUUUCCCUG